rnacentral:rRNA from 1 species
CCCGGGCCUUGUACACACCGCCCGUCACACCACGAGAGUUUGUAACACCCGAAGUCGGUGGGGUAACCUUUUUGGAGCCAGCCGCCUAAGGUGGGACAGAUGAUUGGGGUGAAGUCGUAACAAGGUAGCC